CCAUAGCAAGAACAAAGGAAGAAAAGAAGAACAAAAACCCUAGAGUGAAAAUUCAAGAGAAAAUUGGUGGAUUUCAAGUAAUCAAGCCAUCAAAGGUGAAAUUUCUUAACUCUAGCUUGUGAUCUAUCUUACCUAUGCAUUAUUUUGCAUUUUUCAUGGUUGAAUCACAAGUUAUCAUGAAGGAUAGUGUGCUGAUCAAACCCUAGGAGAGAUAAUUUGAUGAUGAUUUAGAUAGAUUUUUAAGUUAUAUGGAUGUUUUUAGUUGUUUAUGGUGUUAAGUGUAAGAAUUAAGCUUGAAAUUCACAUAUUCCUCAUGAGUUCAUCAUUGGCCAAAUCUUCCUUGUAGAGUGUUGAUGGUGGAUUUGAUUUUAUUUCAAGUGAAUUGGUUAGGAAAUGAUGAAUUAUGGUGAGAAAAUCAAGUAGGAAAAAUCAUAGUGUUGAUGCACUCACCAUGGCCGAAAUUCUCAAGAAGAAAUGUGAGGAUGGUUUUGCUAAAUUUUAUGUUAUUUGACUUGUGUUUGGUGAUUUGAAGUAUUGGGAGAAAAAUGAAAUUAUUUGGAGUUAAAUUGGACGUAUUGGCCAAUUAAUCGGGUGAUAGAUCGAAUUAGGCCAAUACCAUUUUAUUUAGGUACAUAAUUGAAUUUAUAUUGAACAUCAUAUUUAGAUAGUUACCCGAGUAUUUCAUAUCCCAUUUCAUGCAUUAGUAUAAAGCCUGAAUUGGUUUUACAACGGUUUAGCACAAAUUUAGUAAAUGGCUUAUUGUGCAUUAUGUCUAGGUGGUGAGCUUUCUGGCAAAAGUAAAGAGAUAGUACCCGAGGAUCAAGAAUCGGAGUACUCGAAAUUCGACUCCUGAAAUAGUGAGUAACCUUAUCAUCAUCUUGAUUAUCUAAAGUGAAUUUUAAUUCGUUUUUAUGAUUUUAUGGAAAAUGAGUUUAAAUGGUAAAUCUUUAUGUUUUAUAAACAAAAUGUGUUUAAAUGAAAUGAUUUUAUAAAAUUGUCUUGAAAUUGAAUGAUGGUUUUGAAAAUGGAGUAAUUGGAGACUAAUUGUUGUGUUAUAAAUCAUGGUUUAAGUUGAAUGGCUUAUGAUAAUAUUGGCAUGAAUAGUUGAAUUGGUAAAUGUGUUGAAAAUGUAUGAACUAUUGAUUUGGCUUGAGAGACUGUAAAACAAAAUAAUUGUCAUGUCAUGCUGUUGAAUUUUAUUGAAUUGGUGGGUUAUAAAUUGGUCGCUGUAGUGGACGAGUUCUGUGGACUAGCCUAUUAGAGGGGCACGGUAACCCUAUUAUAUUCUUACCUCAGUAUGAGAGGCGCGGAUGGAUAACUCCUUAGGUUAACACUUUAGAGUUCACUUCACGCUAAACCACCACGUGAGGGUGUUUUAGCGAACGCCAAGGAACGGCUAUGUUUUCAAAAUAAAAACAUGAUUUAUGCGUACAUGACUUUUUAACAGCCUUGGCGGACUCGAUUGGGAUAGCCCUCGGCCAAGGUAUCCCUGAUAACUGAGUAUGAGAAUGAUUUUGGCACGAGCCAAAGUUUUAAGAAAUUCAUAAGCCAUGUUGAUUACUCAAUUUAUAUGAAUUGAUUUUAUUUGGUUGAAAUGAGUUGAAAGGUGAUGAAUUACAGUAUGUUAAACUAUUAUAUCUGUCUCUAUUUACUCAGCUUUAGAUAUUUUAGAUGGUAUUUGUUUACUCACUGAGAUUAUAUAAUCUCACCACCCUCUUUUCCACCCAUUUUAGGCUCAGGAUAGUCGGUAGAUAGCUCACUUUGUUGAGGACUACAAUUGGACUUGCAUCCUCAAAAACUUUAGUUAUCUGUAUCACAAUAUGUAUGAAUUUAUUUAGCUUUUAUGCUACAAAAAUUAUUUACCGAUAACUCUAUAAAUAUUAUUUUAUAAGAAAAUAGAAUAUUUUAUUGAAUAUUUUUAUUAUAUUCAAAUAGUCAUAAUUUCAUUUUAAAUGAAUGUUUUAGACAUCUAAACUUAUUUUUUAUUAUGAAAUAUGUGUUUUCCACUCGCAUAUUACAUUUUUAGCUGAUUUCGAGAUUUUCGAGAAAAAAUGACCAAAAUGCCCUUGUGAGAAAAAAAUUAUUUUUCUAUUGUUAUAAUUUGGAAAUAGUUUAUAAUCUCUCAAAACAUGAUAUUUGGUAACGGUUACUCACAGGGGAAAUGAGAAACUGAUAUUAAAGCCUUGUGGUGUUCCGGUUGACAUUCUGGGUAAUGAGUGUCGAUCGGGACACCGCAGCCGUUGUCACGGGCUCGAGGGAAGUACCUGGUCAUGACAGCAGAUUAGGUAAAGGCAUCUCCUAACCUGCCCCGAGUCACUUCGAUACUUAGGGUUGUGUCAUAAAAAAAAUUAUUAGAUGUUAAAAAAUGUUGUUAACUCAUGGACAUUAAUUGUUAAAGACCUUGUAAUUGAUAUUUAAUUGUUAUUAUUUUGAAUUGAGUAAACAGUGGUACAAUUAUUAAUAUUCACUUACGCACGUGAAUGUAUAUUUAAGGAAUCUAAUGGAAAUUUCAAAUGAGGCUUAUUCGAAACUUGGCAG
rnacentral:lncRNA from 1 species